rnacentral:lncRNA from 1 species
UUUGGGACUUGGUCAGAAUUCGGACAACGUUGGUCUGGAACAGAGAACCUUGUCGAGAAUGGGUGCGCGCGGAGCGGUUAUCGGGUAAAAACGCGCUAGAGCAUAAGCGCGGGAACAGUUAUGGAUUUUAGCUGAGCUGACGAUAGCGCGGGAACGGUUACUAGUCGUGCGAAAACACGCGGAAUCUCAGCGGAUCGUGGGAAAGUGCGGAUUGACGCGGGAACUGUUUCUGG